rnacentral:rRNA from 1 species
GCGAUCAUGCCAACACUAAUGCACCGGAUCCCAUCAGAACUCCGAAUUUAAGCUUACUUGGGCGAGGCUAGUACAAGGAUGGGUGGCUCUUUGGGAAGUCCUAGUGUUGAACCU